rnacentral:rRNA from 1 species
AUUGAACGCUGGCGGCAGGCCUAACACAUGCAAGUCGAGAGAGCGGCGGACGGGUGAGUAAUGUCUGGGAAACUGCCUGAUGGAGGGGGAUAACUACUGGAAACGGUAGCUAAUACCGCAUACCAUCAGAUGUGCCCAGAUGGGAUUAGCUAGUAGGUGGGGUAAGGGCUCACCGAGGCGACGAUCCCUAGCUGGUCUGAGAGGAUGACAAGCCACACUGGAAUGGAGAAACGGUCCAGACUCCUACGGGCGGCAGCAUUGGGGAAUAUUGCACAAUGGGCGCAAGCCUGAUGCAGCCAGUCCGCGGGUGUGAAGAAGGCCUUCGGGUUGUAAAGCACUUUCAGCGAGGAGGCGUUACUCGCAGAAGAAGCACCGGCUAAUUACGUGCCAGCAGCCGCGGUAAUAC